GUUUCCUCUUUGCAAUACUGCAAUGUUGCUGUUUUCCAUUUUUAGAGGUGCUGUGUGGAAUGACAAGAGGAGCUGCUUUAAAUGACAAAGCAAUCAGCAAAUGGUGGUACGAUUUUUAUAACAAUAGCAAGAGAACAUGGGAAGAAAAAAAGUUCGCAAUCACUUUUAAGCUCUUACAGGAGGAGCCAGCCUGGACUCCAUAGUGAGUUCAAGGCCAGCCUGAACUACAUAGCAAGACCCAGUCUCAAAAACAAACAGCAAAUGAAAACCCCAUCAUGGUUGAAUAUUGUCACAUGACAAAGAAGC
rnacentral:lncRNA from 1 species